UACGUAGGCAGCAAGCGUUGUCCGGAUUUACUGGGCGUAAAGGGCGCGUAGGCGGUCAGCACAAGUCAGUUGUGAAAUCUCCGGGCUUAACUCGGAAAGGUCAACUGAUACUGUGCGACUAGAGUGCAGAAGGGGCAACUGGAAUUCUCGGUGUAGCGGUGAAAUGCGUAGAUAUCGAGAGGAACACCUGCGGCGAAGGCGGGUUGCUGGGCUGACACUGACGCUGAGGCGCGAAAGCCAGGGGAGCGAACGGG
rnacentral:rRNA from 1 species